rnacentral:rRNA from 1 species
GACGAACGCUGGCGGCGUGCUUAACACAUGCAAGUCGAACGGAAAGGCCCUGCUUUUGUUGGGUGCUCGAGUGGCGAACGGGUGAGUAACACGUGAGUAACCUGCCCUUGACUUUGGGAUAACUUCAGGAAACUGGGGCUAAUACCGGAUAGGAGCUCCUGCUGCAUGGUGGGGGUUGGAAAGUUUCGGCGGUUGGGGAUGGACUGGCGGCUUAUCAGCUUGUUGGUGGGGUAGUGGCGUACCAAGGCUUUGACGGGUAGCCGGCCUGAGAGGGUGACCGGCCACAUUGGGACUGAGAGACGGCCCAGACUCCUACGGGCCGCAGCAGUGGGGAAUCUUGCACAAUGGGCGGAAGCCUGAUGCAGCAACGCCGCGUGCGGGAUGACGGCCUUCGGGUUGUAAACCGCUUUCGCCGGUGACGAAGCGUGAGUGACGGUAAUGGGUAAAGAAGCACCGGCUAACUACGUG